AGCUUUGCGCAGUGGCAGUAUCGUAGCCAAUGAGGUUUAUCCGAGGCGCGAUUAUUGCUAAUUGAGAUGUCUUAUACAGUAGUAGCCACUGAGUACUUAAAAUAUGGCUCAUGUUUUUCUGAAAAACAGUCUGA
rnacentral:snRNA from 1 species